rnacentral:lncRNA from 1 species
AAAAUACCAAAAUCAACUAUAAAAUUGUCGAAAUUAAAACAAAAUUAUCGAAAACAACUAAAAAAAAUCAGAAACAAAUAUAAUUUUAUCGAAAACAACUAUAAAAUAUAAAAAAAAACCCCAACUUUAGAGAAAACUUAUAAAUUUGUUUCUUCUUUAUUAUAGUUAGCCGCCAUUAUUCCAACCCUACAAAACAAAAAAAAUUACAAAAGUCACAAAUCAAUUACAAAGUAUCUCUUUUAUCUUCUCUCUUUUAUCUUCUUCUUCCCCACCAAGAAAAAACACAAUGUACGUAUAUGGUGAUUGCCAGAGAGAAGCAAUAUACACACACCCAACAACUCCAACUCAACUAAAGUAGUUGGAUUUUUUAAUUACUUUUUCAAAAAGUCGAAUGAAAAAUUCAGUUUUCUUUCCUCCAAUAAAGACUUCUAUCCAUACUACUUCCACCACCACCGGCAACGGCACCCAUCGGCCAUCACUGCACAUCCGCCACCGCCUUCAGAGGCGGAGCCUCCCUCAGUCGCUUCAAGCCCCCACAUCUGCCGUUAUUUGUCCCUCCAGGCCAUGGGGUCUUCCGCCUGCUCUGCUACACCUCCAGCGUCGGUAGUCAAAUCCGGCUCCAUCAUCAAGCAACUCCAACGGUGGUGGCCGGGGCACCAGAGUCGCAGCAAGUGGAGACGGAACUGCAACGGGGAGGGGCCAGGCAGCGGUGGUGGCUGAGGCACAGAGCGGGGCGGACGUCGAACUAUGACGGAAGAAAUGGAGAAGGACGGCUAGUGGAGAGAAAAAGAAGAUGAUAGAAGAGAAAUAGGGUUUCAUGUAAUUAGAGAUUUUAAAUGUUAAAGAUGUGAGGGCAAAUUAGGUUUAUUGAGUAUUAGUUUAUUAAAUAUUUAUUUAAUUAAAUAGCUAAAGGGGGUUUCACUAAUAUGUAAAAGGGGUGGGAUAUAUUCUUAUUAUACUAAAUGAGUGAUG